UACCAGCACCCCGAGUGGUCGGGACGUUUAUUGGGCCUAAAGCAUCCGUAGCCGGUUCUACAAGUCUUCCGUUAAAUCCAGCUGCUCAACAGAUGGGCUGCGGAAGAUACUAUGGAGCUAGGAGGCGGGAGAGGCAAGCGGUACUCGAUGGGUAGGGGUAAAAUCCGUUGAUCCAUUGAAGACCACCAGUGGCGAAGGCGGCUUGCCAGAACGCGCUCGACGGUGAGGGAUGAAAGCUGGGGGAGCAAACCGG
rnacentral:rRNA from 1 species